rnacentral:rRNA from 1 species
AUUGAACGCUGGCGGCAUGCCUUACACAUGCAAGUCGAACGGUAACGGGCCUUCGGGUGCCGACGAGUGGCGAACGGGUGAGUAAUGUAUCGGAACGUACCUUUCAGUGGGGGAUAACGUAGCGAAAGUUACGCUAAUACCGCAUAUUCUGUGCGCAGGAAAGCAGGGGAUCGCAAGACCUUGCGCUGAUUGAGCGGCCGAUAUCAGAUUAGCUAGUUGGUGAGGUAAAGGCUCACCAAGGCGACGAUCUGUAGCGGGUCUGAGAGGAUGAUCCGCCACACUGGAACUGAGACACGGUCCAGACUCCUACGGGAGGCAGCAGUGGGGAAUUUUGGACAAUGGGGGCAACCCUGAUCCAGCCAUGCCGCGUGAGUGAUGACGGCCUUAGGGUUGUAAAGCUCUUUCGCCAGGGACGAUAAUGACGGUACCUGGAUAAGAAGCCCCGGCUAACUUCGUG